rnacentral:rRNA from 1 species
UACAUGUGGGGCAAGCGUUGUUCGGAAUUACUGGGCAUAAAGGGUGCGUAGGCGGCUUUGUAAGUCAGUGGUGAAAUAUGGCAGCUCAACUGUCAGGGUGCCAUUGAUACUGCGGAGCUUGAGUACAGAUGAGGUAGGCGGAAUUGACGGUGUAGCGGUGAAAUGCUUAGAUAUCGUCAAGAACACCGAUAGCGAAGGCAGCUUACUAGGCUGUAACUGACGCUGAGGCACGAAAGUGUGGGGAUCAAACAGG